AUAAUUGAAAAAUUUCCCUGACUGCUAUUUGCAGGACUACCCAUCAGUUGGACAACUAGCUACGGCGCUGGAAAGAAACAAUAUUCAGCCCAUAUUUGCAGUGACAAAAAAUGUAGAGAGUGUCUACAAGGACCUCUCUAAAAUGAUUCCAAAAUCUGAAGUGGGAGUUCUGUCAUCAGAUUCUAAAAAUGUUGUUCAGUUGAUUGAAACUGCCUACAAUAGUUUGUCCUCGAAAGUAACUGUGACCCAUGACAAUCUUCCUGACAAUGUAAGAGUUGUCUACACCCCUAUAUGCGUGCAUGCAGGACCAGCAGGGGACAGGACAGGGGUUUGUGAUAAUGUGCGUGUGGGACAAAACGUAAGUGUUUUGGGAACUUUUUCCUGUUGAUUUUUUUUUAUCAAGUGCAUCAGUUUUAGGUUUUAUAAUUGUAAUUUUAAAUUGUCUUUUAUCUAUACAGGUGUAUACUAAAGAAAGUAAAAAUGAUAUGUUUGAAAGUGUUAAAUACAGCGACUAUGAUACAUCAACACAGUGGCGGCUGGUGAACAUCUUAGCUGGGGGGGGCAGUCUGCAAAUGCCCUUUUAUGUUAAAUCAGAAAUUAGAAUAUGAGUAACAUCAGCACAACUAUAUACAGGAAUGCAAAU